AUUGAACGCUGGGGGCAUGCUUUACACCUCCACGUCGAACGGCCGCGCUGGCUUCCGCCUGGCGGCUAGUGGCGAACGGGUGCGUAAUCCCUCGGAACGUGCCCCGUAGUGGGGGAUAGCACUGCGACAGCCGGAUUAAUACCGCAUACGACCUGAGGGUGAAAGCGGGGGACCGAAAGGCCUCGCGCCUUUGCAGCGGCCGAUGUCGGAUUAGCUAGUUGGUGGGGUAAAGGCUUACCAAGGCCACGAUCCGUAGCUGGUCUGAGAGGACGACCAGCCACACGGGGACUGAGACACGGCCCAGACUCCUACGGGUGGCAGCAGUGGGGAAUUUUGGACAAUGGGGGCAACCCUGAUCCAGCCAUGCCGCGUGCGGGAAGAAGGCCUUCGGGUUGUAAACCGCUUUUGUUCGGGAAGAACUCCUCUGGGCUAAUACCCCGGGGGGAUGACGGUACCGGAAGAAUAAGCACCGGCUAACUACGUG
rnacentral:rRNA from 1 species